rnacentral:sRNA from 1 species
GAGCAAAAAAAGACCGGGCACAAAUCCUGUGACCGGUCCAGGGAAAUGGCUCAGAGAGCCGUGCGCUAAAAAUUGGCAUCACGAGGUAGUUGGCCUCAUAAAGUAAUCAUAGUUGAGUUUUGCCUUAUUUCCAGCGC